AAAAUUAUUGUGUAGGCCUAAAAUUAGCCACCACUAGAGUUUGUUAUAAAACAAUAAAAAUAUAUAAAAAUAUUACUAUACAUAGCUACCGCAUAAAACUAUAAGAAUAGCAAUCUAAACCUAGAGGUUGUGUACCUAUGCUAAGAUGAGUAUUAAAAUUAUCUAAAAUUUGAAAUAAAUUAUUUCCUGAGACAAUAUUUUUUAUAUAAAUUAAAGAGAAGGAAUUCGGCAAACGUUGUUUCGCCUGUUUAUCAAAAACAUGGCUCUUUGGGGAAAAUAUAUAGAGAGUCGAACCUGCCCAGUGAAUAAUUUUAACGGCCGCGGUACCCUGACCGUGCAAAGGUAGCAUAAUCAUUUGCCUUAUAAUUGAAGGCUGGCAUGAAUGGUCUGACGAGAGCAACGCUGUCUCCUCUUUAUUAUCUAAAAAUUAACUUAUAGGUGAAGAGGCCUAUAUUGAAUUGAAG
rnacentral:rRNA from 1 species